rnacentral:rRNA from 1 species
UUUAUGGAGAGUUUGAUCCUGGCUCAGGAUGAACGCUGGCGGCGUGCCUAAUACAUGCAAGUCGAGCGAACGGAUGAGAAGCUUGCUUCUCUGAUGUUAGCGGCGGACGGGUGAGUAACACGUGGAUAACCUACCUAUAAGACUGGGAUAACUUCGGGAAACCGGAGCUAAUACCGGAUAAUAUUUUGAGCCGCAUGGUUCAAAAGUGAAAGACGGUCUUGCUGUCACUUAUAGAUGGAUCCGCGCUGCAUUAGCUAGUUGGUAAGGUAACGGCUUACCAAGGCAACGAUGCA